UGGAACUAGUAAGGAUGCGCAAGGGCCCAAUCCAAGGCUCACUGGCCUUAAGCUCUGAACAGAGGGGGGUUUGAGGCCUGAAACAUGGUAUAAGAAGCCAAAACAUCGGGCUUCGGGUGAAAUAGGCCCAAAAGGGAAAUCUAAAGAAGCAACAACACGUGGCCUGGAAUAAACGUCACAUUUUCCACGUUUCUUACAUUCAAAUAGAGCUACAGAGGUUCUUCUCGCUCUGCCUUGCUAGAGCUCAUCGUCGGUAGUGGUGGAACUCAAACCACAAAUAUGGACCAUCAUUCAACUCCUUUCAGUCUUGAGAUUAUAGACCCACACACCAAUAUGCAAAAAGCAACAUCUACAAUUCCAAUCGAAGGAGAACAUGGAAGAACCUUAGGGCUUCAAACAAAAAUUAAAUGAAGAAGAGAAAUAAUCAAAGCCUCAAACCAAAGGGCUUUGAUUCUAUGAGCCUUGAUCUACAUCAUGGUAUGCAAAGCUGAAGCAACUGAUGAAGUUAAAGAUCUAUCUCGCCGGAGAAGGUGACCAGAGAUGCUCAGGUACAAAAUGAUCUCAAAGCGGCAUGGCCAAAUGGAAGUAUAUGGAUCAUGGAGACAUUAAGGAAAGGGCUACCAAGUUCAAAGAAAUAUGCUCAUUUUCUUUUUUUGUUUCAAGCCAUGUAUUUUGAUGCUUAUGUAUUAGUCAUUAGGAUGUAACAUGGUGCCAUAGUAUUAGGAUUAGCUCAUUUAAAAUGCUUGUAAUGAAAUAUGCUCAUAGAAUGAUUAUGGUUCAUGCUUGUAAAUGAAAAAGCUCACUUGUGAUUAUUAUGAAAACAUGCUUAUGUAAUGGAAAAAUACCUACUUAUGAUGAUUA